rnacentral:rRNA from 1 species
UACGUAGGGUGCAAGCGUUAAUCGGAAUUACUGGGCGUAAAGCGUGCGCAGGCGGUUUUGUAAGUCAGAUGUGAAAUCCCCGGGCUUAACCUGGGAAUGGCAUUGGUGACUGCACGGCUAGAGUGUGUCAGAGGGGGGUAGAAUUCCACGUGUAGCAGUGAAAUGCGUAGAGAUGUGGAGGAAUACCGAUGGCGAAGGCAGCCCCCUGGGAUAACACUGACGCUCAUGCACGAAAGCGUGGGGAGCAAACAGG